rnacentral:rRNA from 1 species
UGGGGAAUUUUGGACAAUGGGGGAAACCCUGAUCCAGCCAUCCCGCGUUUGCGAUGAAGGCCUUCGGGUUGUAAAGCACUUUUGGCAGGAAAGAAACGUCAUGGGUUAAUACCCCGUGAAACUGACGGUACCUGCAGAAUAAGCACCGGCUAACUACGUGCCAGCAGCCGCGGUAAUACGUAGGGUGCAAGCGUUAAUCGGAAUUACUGGGCGUAAAGCGUGCGCAGGCGGUUCGGAAAGAAAGAUGUGAAAUCCCAGAGCUCAACUUUGGAACUGCAUUUGUAACUACCGGGCUAGAGUGUGUCGGAGGUAGGUGGAAUUCCGCGUGUAGCAGUGAAAUGCGUAGAUAUGCGGAGGAACACCGAUGGCGAAGGCAGCCUCCUGGGAUAACACUGACGCUCAUGCACGAAAGCGUGGGGAGCAAACAGG